AACGAACGCUGGCGGCGUACUUAACACAUGCAAGUCGGACGAGAAAUUCCGAUUCGUCGGGAGAGUAAAGUGGCGAACGGGUGAGUAAUACGAGGGUAAUCUACCCUUAAAUUAGGGAUAACCUUGCGAAAGCGAAGCUAAUACCUGAUAAGACUACGAUCUCCAAGGGGAUAGUAGGAAAAGAUGGCCUCUGUUUCAUGCUAUUGUUUAAGGAUGAGCCCUUGCACUAUUAGCUAGUUGGUGAGGUAAUGGCCCACCAAGGCUACGAUGGUUAGCUGGUCUGAGAGGAUGAUCAGCCACACUGGAACUGAGACACGGUCCAGACUCCUACGGGAGGCAGCAGUGAGGAAUAUUGCGCAAUGGGGGAAACCCUGACGCAGUGACGCCGCGUGAGCGAUGAAGGCUUUCGAGUCGUAAAGCUCUGUUAGG
rnacentral:rRNA from 1 species